GUUUGAGGCCAUUGUUGAGAAGUGAAAGAUUCAGGUUGUUGAUCAUCGUCGUCAUAACUGCCACGAUUAUUGCUACUGUCACUAUCGUAGUUAACAGCUUCAAUGUCGUUAACAGCUUCAAUAUCAGUUUCAUCUUCAUUAGCAUCUAAGAAAUAAUCAUUCUCUUUUUCUUUGUUCUUGUCACUGUUGUUGCUGGCCAUGAUGAUUAUUCUGUAAUUUAAUUA
rnacentral:lncRNA from 1 species